AAGAGCUUGCUCUUAUGAAGUUAGCGGCGGACGGGUGAGUAACACGUGGGUAACCUGCCCAUAAGACUGGGAUAACUCCGGGAAACCGGGGCUAAUACCGGAUAACAUUUUGAACCGCAUGGUUCGAAAUUGAAAGGCGGCUUCGGCUGUCACUUAUGGAUGGACCCGCGUCGCAUUAGCUAGUUGGUGAGGUAACGGCUCACCAAGGCAACGAUGCGUAGCCGACCUGAGAGGGUGAUCGGCCACACUGGGACUGAGACACGGCCCAGACUCCUACGGGAGGCAGCAGUAGGGAAUCUUCCGCAAUGGACGAAAGUCUGACGGAGCAACGCCGCGUGAGUGAUGAAGGCUUUCGGGUCGUAAAACUCUGUUGUUAGGGAAGAACAAGUGCUAGUUGAAUAAGCUGGCACCUUGACGGUACCUAACCAGAAAGCCACGGCUAACUACGUGCCAGCAGCCGCGGUAAUACGUAGGUGGCAAGCGUUAUCCGGAAUUAUUGGGCGUAAAGCGCGCGCAGGUGGUUUCUUAAGUCUGAUGUGAAAGCCCACGGCUCAACCGUGGAGGUCAUUGAAACUGGGAGACUUGAGUGCAGAAGAGGAAAGUGGAAUUCCAUGUGUAGCGGUGAAAUGCGUAGAGAUAUGGAGGAACACCAGUGGCGAAGGCCGACUUUCUGGUCUGUAACUGAC
rnacentral:rRNA from 1 species